rnacentral:rRNA from 1 species
CGUGUAGGCGGCUAGACAAGUCAGAUGUGAAAUCCCUGGGCUUAACCCAGGAAGUGCAUUUGAAACUGUCCUGCUAGAGUAAGGGAGAGGAAAGUGGAAUUCCUGGUGUAGAGGUGAAAUUCGUAGAUAUCAGGAGGAACACCGGUGGCGAAGGCGACUUUCUGGCCCUAUACUGACGCUGAGACGCGAAAGCGUGGGUAGCAAACA